UACGUAGGGGGCAAGCGUUGUUCGGAAUCACUGGGCGUAAAGGGAGCGUAGGCGGUUCGGUAAGUUAGGAGUGAAAUCUACAUGCUUAACAUGUAGAUUGCUUUUAAUACUGCCAAUCUUGAGUAUGGGAGAGGAUGAUGGAAUUCCAGGUGUAGCGGUGGAAUGCGUAGAUAUCUGGAAGAACACCAGUUGCGUAGGCGGUCAUCUGGCCCAAUACUGACGCUGAGGCUCGAAAGCUAGGGGAGCAAACAGG
rnacentral:rRNA from 1 species